GACGAACGCUGGCGGCGUGCUUAACACAUGCAAGUCGAACGGAAAGGCCUCUUUCGGGGGGUACUCGAGUGGCGAACGGGUGAGUAACACGUGAGUAACCUGCCCUUGACUUUGGGAUAACUUCAGGAAACUGGGGCUAAUACCGGAUAGGAGCUCCUGCUGCAUGGUGGGGGUUGGAAAGUUUCGGCGGUUGGGGAUGGACUCGCGGCUUAUCAGCUUGUUGGUGGGGUAGUGGCUUACCAAGGCUUUGACGGGUAGCCGGCCUGAGAGGGUGACCGGCCACAUUGGGACUGAGAUACGGCCCAGACUCCUACGGGAGGCAGCGGUGAGGAAUAUUGCACAAUGGGUGGAAGCCUGAUGCAGCAACGCCGUGUGCGGGAUGACGGCCUUCGGGUUGUAAACCGCUUUCGCUCAUGACGAAGCUUUGUGUGACGGUAGUGGGUAAAGAAGCACCGGCUAACUACGUG
rnacentral:rRNA from 1 species